rnacentral:rRNA from 1 species
CAGUCGAACGGGAAUCUUCGGAUUCUAGUGGCGGACGGGUGAGUAACGCGUAAGAAUCUAACUUCAGGACGGGGACAACAGUUGGAAACGACUGCUAAUACCCGAUGUGCCGCGAGGUGAAACCUAAUUGGCCUGAAGAAGAGCUUGCGUCUGAUUAGCUAGUUGGUGGGGUAAAGGCCUACCAAGGCGACGAUCAGUAGCUGGUCUGAGAGGAUGAGCAGCCACACUGGGACUGAGACACGGCCCAGACUCCUACGGGAGGCAGCAGUGGGGAAUUUUCCGCAAUGGGCGAAAGCCUGACGGAGCAACGCCGCGUGAGGGAGGAAGGUCUUUGGAUUGUAAACCUCUUUUCUCAAGGAAGAAGUUCUGACGGUACUUGAGGAAUCAGCCUCGGCUAACUCCGUGCCAGCAGCCGCGGUAAUACGGGGGAGGCAAGCGUUAUCCGGAAUUAUUGGGCGUAAAGCGUCCGCAGGUGGUCAGCCAAGUCUGCUGUCAAAUCAGGUUGCUUAACGACCUAAAGGCGGUGGAAACUGGCAGACUAGAGAGCAGUAGGGGUAGCAGGAAUUCCCAGUGUAGCGGUGAAAUGCGUAGAGAUUGGGAAGAACAUCGGUGGCGAAAGCGUGCUACUGGGCUGUAUCUGACACUCAGGGACGAAAGCUAGGGGAGCGAAAGGGAUUAGAUACCCCUGUAGUCCUAGCCGUAAACGAUGGAUACUAGGCGUGGCUUGUAUCGACCCGAGCCGUGCCGAAGCUAACGCGUUAAGUAUCCCGCCUGGGGAGUACGCACGCAAGUGUGAAACUCAAAGGAAUUGACGG